rnacentral:rRNA from 1 species
UACAGAGGUCUCAAGCGUUGUUCGGAUUCAUUGGGCGUAAAGGGUGUGUAGGUGGCGCGCUAAGUCGGGUGUGAAAUUUUGGAGCUUAACUCCGAAACUGCAUUCGAUACUGGCGUGCUUGAGGACUGGAGAGGAGACUGGAAUUCAUGGUGUAGCAGUGAAAUGCGUAGAGAUCAUGAGGAAGACCAGUGGCGAAGGCGGCUACCUGGACCAGCACUGACACUGAGGCACGAAAGCGUGGGGAGCAAACAGG